CCCAAGAACCUCCCUAAUGGGCAUUAAAAAUUGAAGCCAUAGUGAUCUUUAAAAAAUGUGUACUACACAUUUUUUAAGUGCUUGUGGAUUGUAAGAACAUUUAUUACUAUGUUCUUACCACUUAUAUUACACACGUUUUAUUUCUAUUUAUUUAAUUAUUAAUACAUAUUAAUUAGCAUAAAAGGAGAUGCUGAUGUGACAAUUCUACUCGUCUGUAGCCCGGAGCUACUGGCGUCGAACUAACAAAGGGCAGUUGUGUUCGAGUGGCCGUUAUAGACAUAGUUUUCAAUAAUAUUACUUUCAUCUUAUUUAUAUUAUUUAUAACUUAACUUGUUUUAUUCAACGACCCGUCUAUCGCCAAUUGUCAUCAUAGCCAACCAACUCCGUUACAGAGGAACUAAGGUACACGAUUGCCUGUAUCUCCUUCAGGCAAUUAAAACUCAUUUAAGGAGGUAGGGACGAUAUUUGGGCAGACGUCGGGUAGCUUCCGAUUCUUGGUUUUGACCAAGAUCCUCAACUAUUAAACAAGCCCCUAACAGGAUACUUUAUAAUUUUUGUUUUUUUGUCUGGUUUGUACAGAAAUAAAUGGAUUUUCUGACUUGACACAACUUAUAGUUGUCUAUACGAGAAGCGGCGAGUCUCCUUAUUUUUAAUAAUGAAAUAAUAAUUAAUACCUUAUUUUAUAGAUGAAGAAUUAGAAGGAUAUUGUUCUCCAAGCAACAAUAAUAAAAUAUGUCAUUUAUGUAAAUCAGUUAUUCCUGAAGAUCAUGGAAAAAUUUAUUUGACAAAAUGUUGUAAAAAGAGAAUAUGUUAUUCAUGUUUGUUUUCAAAGUUUAUCGGAAAAGGAAAGUCUGAAAUGUUUGUGAUAUGUCCAUGUUGUUUUUACUAUCAUGAAUAUGGUCCUAUGUAUAAAAUAAAAUGUUUAGAAAAAAAUUGUAAAAAAUGUAAUGAAAAACCAGGUAAACAUAGCAUUACCUAUUUUUGUCCGGAAUUGUAUUGCAAGGAUUGCAUCAAAACAAUAAAUAGGAAUAAUCACUUUUGCAAACAUUGAAAUAAAAAAAUUCUAUUAUUAUUAUUUUGUUUUUAAAAUUAGGAAGAAAAAUUAUGUACUUACUUUAAUUUACAAAACAAAAUAUUUUUAAUAAUUUUAUUAUCAUAUUAAUCAAUGAAUGACAAUUAAUUAUAUAUAAAUAUAUCAAUAAUGUUGU